UUCGUAGGCGGGCUAUUAAGUCAGAGGUGAAAGCCAUCGACUCAACCGAUGAAUUGCCUCUGAUACUGGUAGUCUUGAGUCCGUUAGGGGGUGGUGGAAUUCCUGGUGUAGCGGUGAAAUGCGUAAAUAUCAGGAGGAACACCAGUGGCGAAGGCGACCACCUGGGACGGUACUGACGCUGAGGAACGAAAGCAUGGGUAUCAAACAGGAUUAGAUACCCUGGUAGUCC
rnacentral:rRNA from 1 species